GUAGGUGAACCUGCGGAAGGAUCAUUACAGAGUUUAUGCUCGUCAGAGCUAACCUCCCACCCGUGUCUAUUACAUCUUGUUGCUUCGGCGGCGCAUUCGUGUGCCGCCGGGGACACCAUUUGAACUCUGUUUUAUAAUGCAGUCUGAGAAUAUAACUUAAUUAGUUAAAACUUUCAACAACGGAUCUCUUGGUUCCGGCAUCGAUGAAGAACGCAGCAUCUGACUGACUGGAAGCUUGUCUAUCUCGUAU
rnacentral:misc_RNA from 1 species